rnacentral:hammerhead_ribozyme from 1 species
AUCCAACUGACGAAUUCCAAAUAGGAUGAAACAUGUGUCAUGUAU